AUUGAACGCUGGCGGCAGGCUUAACACAUGCAAGUCGAGCGGGGGGAGGUAGCUUGCUACCUAACCUAGCGGCGGACGGGUGAGUAAUGCUUAGGAAUCUGCCUAUUAGUGGGGGACAACAUUUCGAAAGGGAUGCUAAUACCGCAUACGCCCUAAGGGGGAAAGCAGGGGAUCUUCGGACCUUGCGCUAAUAGAUGAGCCUAAGUCGGAUUAGCUAGUUGGUGGGGUAAAGGCCUACCAAGGCGACGAUCUGUAGCGGGUCUGAGAGGAUGGUCCGCCACACUGGGACUGAGACACGGCCCAGACUCCGACGGGAGGCGGCAGUGGGGAAUAUUGGACAAUGGGCGGAAGCCUGAUCCAGCCAUGCCGCGUGUGUGAAGAAGGCCUUUUGGUUGUAAAGCACUUUAAGCGAGGAGGAGGCUACCUGGAUUAAUACUCUAGGAUAGUGGACGUUACUCGCAGAAUAAGCACCGGCUAACUCUGUGCCAGCCGCCGCAGUAAUAC
rnacentral:rRNA from 1 species